GUGUUUCUGCAGCACAUACACUAAAAUUGGACCAUACAGAAAAGAUUAGCAUGGCCCCUGAGCAAGCAUGACACAAAACUUCAUGGAUCGUUUCAUAUUUUU
rnacentral:snRNA from 1 species